AUUGAACGCUGGCGGCAUGCCUAACACAUGCAAGUCGAACGGCAGCACGGCAGUAGCAAUACUGUGGGUGGCGAGUGGCGGACGGGUGAGGAAUACGUCGGAAUCUGCCCAGUCGUGGGGGAUAACUAGCCGAAAGGUUAGCUAAUACCGCAUACGACCGAGAGGUGAAAGCGGGGGACCGGCAAGGCCUCGCGCGAUUGGAUGAGCCGACGUCGGAUUAGCUAGUUGGUGGGGUAAAGGCCCACCAAGGCGACGAUCCGUAGCUGGUCUGAGAGGAUGAUCAGCCACACUGGAACUGAGACACGGUCCAGACUCCUACGGGAGGCAGCAGUGGGGAAUAUUGGACAAUGGGCGCAAGCCUGAUCCAGCAAUGCCGCGUGUGUGAAG
rnacentral:rRNA from 1 species